UACGUAGGCAGCGAGCGUUGUCCGGAUUUAUUGGGCGUAAAGAGCGUGUAGGCGGCCUGAAAGGUCAGCUGUGAAAACUCGAGGCUCAACCUCGAGACGUCGGUUGAAACCAUCUGGCUAGAGUCCGGAAGAGGAGUGUGGAAUUCCCGGUGUAGCGGUGAAAUGCGCAGAUAUCGGGAAGAACACCCGUGGCGAAGACGGCACUCUGGGACGGUACUGACGCUGAGACGCGAAAGCGUGGGGAGCGAACAGG
rnacentral:rRNA from 1 species